rnacentral:lncRNA from 1 species
ACCCUGUCCCUCAACCGUCGCUCCAAUACUAGCCCAACAGAAGACAAAGCAAAAGUAAUGUUGUCCAAAGCUGUGUGUUGGGGAAAUGACCACCGAUGGAUGCUGUGCCUCAAUUUCCAUUCUGUUUGAAUAUACUUAUAUCACAGCCCCACCUCUCUUUCUAUCUUUAAAUUAAGUACUGGAAAGCUUUAUUUUAACCUAUUAAUGUGGGGCCUCUGGGUCUUGGAAUUGAGCCGAGGACUUGGUAGCUGUGCUAGUUUGUCCACUCAGAAUUCUUUUGAAAAGAGACCAAGUUACAAAUGAUUGGGUUCUGUUAUGUUUCUAUUAAAUUUCCUUCCACUCCUGACUA